rnacentral:rRNA from 1 species
GGGGAAUCUUGGACAAUGGGCGCAAGCCUGAUCCAGCCAUGCCGCGUGAGUGACGAAGGCCUUAGGGUUGUAAAGCUCUUUUGGCGGGGACGAUAAUGACGGUACCCGCAGAAUAAGCCCCGGCUAACUUCGUGCCAGCAGCCGCGGUAAUACGAAGGGGGCUAGCGUUGUUCGGAAUUACUGGGCGUAAAGCGCACGUAGGCGGCUUUGUAAGUCAGGGGUGAAAUCCCGGGGCUCAACCUCGGAACUGCCUUUGAUACUGCGGAGCUCGAGUCCGAUAGAGGUGAGUGGAAUUCCUAGUGUAGAGGUGAAAUUCGUAGAUAUUAGGAAGAACACCAGUGGCGAAGGCGGCUCACUGGAUCGGUACUGACGCUGAGGUGCGAAAGCGUGGGGAGCAAAC